UUUCAUAAAACUCUCAAGUCCCUAGAUGGC
rnacentral:piRNA from 1 species